UUUCACCUCGACGAGAAAUCUCGUCACUCUUUAAUCUCGCGAGAUCACGUACAACGAGAUCUCGUCACACCCUUAAGGAACAGUACAUUCAG